rnacentral:rRNA from 1 species
CCUACGGGCGGCAGCAGUGAGGAAUAUUUGUCAAUGGGCGCGAGCCUGAACCAGCCAAGUAGCGUGAAGGAUGACUGCCCUACGGGUUGUAAACUUCUUUUAUAAAGGAAUAAAGUGAGGCACGUGUGCCUUUUUGUAUGUACUUUAUGAAUAAGGAUCGGCUAACUCCGUGCAAGCAGCCGCGGUAAUACGGAGGAUCCGAGCGUUAUCCGGAUUUAUUGGGUUUAAAGGGCGCGUAGAUGGGUUGUUAAGUCAGUUGUGAAAGUUUGCGGCUCAACCGUAAAAUUGCAAUUGAUACUGGCAGCCUUGAGUACAGUUGAGGUAGGCGGAAUUCGUGGUGUAGCGGUGAAAUACUUAGAUAUCGCGAAGAACUCCGAUUGCGAAGGCAGCUUACUAAACUGCAACUGACAUUGAUGCUCGAAAGUGUGGGUAGCAAACAGGAUUAGAUACCCGAGUAGUC